AUGUGCUAUGCGAUUCCAUGGUGCACUCCCUACAUUACCCAGAGAUAUUGUGAUGAACUGAGUGGAUUCAAAAUAAGCUCUCAAAACUCAAUUACAUUGAAGGGUAUUGAAUGCGAAAGAAAUGUUAAAGACAACAUUAUAAACACUCUAAAAAGUAUGAGAAAAAUAGCAUUGCUUUUAAUCGUUCUUCUCUUUUUAAAGGAGACAGGAAACCUAAUGUAAAAUGAAAACAAAAUGUUAAGAAAUCUUCAUCAAUAAAGAAUUUCAAGUUGGGGAAUGCA
rnacentral:lncRNA from 1 species